rnacentral:rRNA from 1 species
GGGUUGUGAGGUUAAGCGACUAAGCGUACACGGUGGAUGCCCUGGCAGUCAGAGGCGAUGAAGGACGUGCUAAUCUGCGAAAAGCGUCGGUAAGGUGAUAUGAACCGUUAUAGCCGGCGAUGUCCGAAUGGGGAAACCCAGUGUGAUUCGUCACACUAUCGUUAACUGAAUACAUAGGUUAACGAGGCGAACCGGGGGAACUGAAACAUCUAAGUACCCCGAGGAAAAGAAAUCAACCGAGAUUCCCCCAGUAGCGGCGAGCGAACGGGGAGCAGCCCAGAGUCUGAAUCAGCUUGUGUGUUAGUGGAACGGUCUGGAAAGUCCGACGGUACAGGGUGAUAGUCCCGUACACCAAAAUGCACAGGCUGUGAACUCGAAGAGUAGGGCGGGACACGUGGUAUCCUGUCUGAAUAUGGGGGGACCAUCCUCCAAGGCUAAAUACUCCUGACUGACCGAUAGUGAACCAGUACCGUGAGGGAAAGGCGAAAAGAACCCCGGCGAGGGGAGUGAAAAAGAACCUGAAACCGUGUACGUACAAGCAGUGGGAGCACCUUCGGGUGUGACUGCGUACCUUUUGUAUAAUGGGUCAGCGACUUAUAUUCUGUAGCAAGGUUAACCGUAUAGGGGAGCCGCAGGGAAACCGAGUCUUAACUGGGCGUUAAGUUGCAGGGUAUAGACCCGAAACCCGGUGAUCUAGCCAUGGGCAGGUUGAAGGUUGGGUAACACUAACUGGAGGACCGAACCGACUAAUGUUGAAAAAUUAGCGGAUGACUUGUGGCUGGGGGUGAAAGGCCAAUCAAACCGGGAGAUAGCUGGUUCUCCCCGAAAGCUAUUUAGGUAGCGCCUCGUGAACUCAUCUUCGGGGGUAGAGCACUGUUUCGGCUAGGGGGUCAUCCCGACUUACCAACCCGAUGCAAACUACGAAUACCGAAGAAUGUUAUCACGGGAGACACACGGCGGGUGCUAACGUCCGUCGUGAAGAGGGAAACAACCCAGACCGCCAGCUAAGGUCCCAAAGUCAUGGUUAAGUGGGAAACGAUGUGGGAAGGCACAGACAGCCAGGAUGUUGGCUUAGAAGCAGCCAUCAUUUAAAGAAAGCGUAAUAGCUCACUGGUCGAGUCGGCCUGCGCGGAAGAUGUAACGGGGCUAAACCAUGCACCGAAGCUGCGGCAGCGACACUAUGUGUUGUUGGGUAGGGGAGCGUUCUGUAAGCCUGCGAAGGUGACCUGUGAGGGUUGCUGGAGGUAUCAGAAGUGCGAAUGCUGACAUAAGUAACGAUAAAGCGGGUGAAAAGCCCGCUCGCCGGAAGACCAAGGGUUCCUGUCCAACGUUAAUCGGGGCAGGGUGAGUCGACCCCUAAGGCGAGGCCGAAAGGCGUAGUCGAUGGGAAACAGGUUAAUAUUCCUGUACUUGGUGUUACUGCGAAGGGGGGACGGAGAAGGCUAUGUUAGCCGGGCGACGGUUGUCCCGGUUUAAGCAUGUAGGCUGAUUGUCCAGGCAAAUCCGGAUAAUCAAGGCUGAGGUGUGAUGACGAGGCACUACGGUGCUGAAGUAACAAAUGCCCUGCUUCCAGGAAAAGCCUCUAAGCAUCAGGUAACAUUAAAUCGUACCCCAAACCGACACAGGUGGUCAGGUAGAGAAUACCAAGGCGCUUGAGAGAACUCGGGUGAAGGAACUAGGCAAAAUGGUGCCGUAACUUCGGGAGAAGGCACGCUGGUGUGUAGGUGAAGUCCCUGCGGAUGGAGCUGAGACCAGUCGAAGAUACCAGCUGGCUGCAACUGUUUAUUAAAAACACAGCACUGUGCAAACACGAAAGUGGACGUAUACGGUGUGACGCCUGCCCGGUGCCGGAAGGUUAAUUGAUGGGGUUAUCCGUAAGGAGAAGCUCUUGAUCGAAGCCCCGGUAAACGGCGGCCGUAACUAUAACGGUCCUAAGGUAGCGAAAUUCCUUGUCGGGUAAGUUCCGACCUGCACGAAUGGCGUAAUGAUGGCCAGGCUGUCUCCACCCGAGACUCAGUGAAAUUGAACUCGCUGUGAAGAUGCAGUGUACCCGCGGCAAGACGGAAAGACCCCGUGAACCUUUACUAUAGCUUGACACUGAACAUUGAGCCUUGAUGUGUAGGAUAGGUGGGAGGCUUUGAAGCGUGGACGCCAGUCUGCGUGGAGCCAACCUUGAAAUACCACCCUUUAAUGUUUGAUGUUCUAACGUUGGCCCCUGACCGGGGUUGCGGACAGUGUCUGGUGGGUAGUUUGACUGGGGCGGUCUCCUCCCAAAGCGUAACGGAGGAGCACGAAGGUUAGCUAAUCCUGGUCGGACAUCAGGAGGUUAGUGCAAUGGCAUAAGCUAGCUUGACUGCGAGCGUGACGGCGCGAGCAGGUGCGAAAGCAGGUCAUAGUGAUCCGGUGGUUCUGAAUGGAAGGGCCAUCGCUCAACGGAUAAAAGGUACUCCGGGGAUAACAGGCUGAUACCGCCCAAGAGUUCAUAUCGACGGCGGUGUUUGGCACCUCGAUGUCGGCUCAUCACAUCCUGGGGCUGAAGUAGGUCCCAAGGGUAUGGCUGUUCGCCAUUUAAAGUGGUACGCGAGCUGGGUUUAGAACGUCGUGAGACAGUUCGGUCCCUAUCUGCCGUGGGCGCUGGAGAAUUGAGGGGGGCUGCUCCUAGUACGAGAGGACCGGAGUGGACGCAUCACUGGUGUUCGGGUUGUCAUGCCAAUGGCACUGCCCGGUAGCUAAAUGCGGAAGAGAUAAGUGCUGAAAGCAUCUAAGCACGAAACUUGCCCCGAGAUGAGUUCUCCCUGAGACUUUAAGUCUCCUGAAGGAACGUUAAAGACGAUGACGUUGAUAGGCCGGGUGUGUAAGCGCAGCGAUGCGUUGAGCUAACCGGUACUAAUGAACCGUGAGGCUUAACCUUACAACGCCGAAG